rnacentral:misc_RNA from 1 species
AUUGGUCCUAUUCUUUUAACAAGGACCAGAAUUUUAUUUGUUCAUGUGGGUGCAGCGGGAAAUUUCUGUAUUGAAUUUAUAAUUAUUGGUUCAGUUUAUGUUUACUUUAGAUCAUUGGAUCAGCUCAUCAAGUCCUAAAUUUAGGUGAUUUGAAGUUGUUUUUGAACUAGGGGAGCAUGUAAGUUGUUAAUUGUUUUUGUUGUUCUGAAGAUACUACUGGAGAUAAUUAUAUGUACUAUCAAUCUGGUUCUAUAUAUAUAUUAAUUUUUUUUACUUGUUGUUUAUAUGAACCAAUUGACUGGCAUGGAUUUGCUUUCUUUUCUGUCGGAAAUUUAAAUGUUCUUCCUUUCUGUUGUCAUUUAUAAUUCAGAUUUGGAUUGCUAUUAGCUAUCAAAGGCAAUUUCAAUAGCAUUUUUGUGCUUGGUUUAAAAGAGUUUGAAAGUGAUUAAAUGAUUCAAAUUUGUUUGUGAGAUAACAUUACUUGGGCUAGUUGAACCAAGUAAUAAUUUUCUGUUCACCAAAUUAAAAAUCCCUCUAGGGAGGUAGAUAGCAGAUAAGAAUCUAUUUUCUG